GAUUAGAAGAAGAGGAAAUUUCUCUGUUUGACUUAGGAAAGGAUGACAGUAGCUGAUUUGAAGCUAAGUUUAUUGAGCUAUUUUAUUUUGCUUCUGUAUUUGUCGCUGAUAUGAAAGAAAUAUGUAGAUUGUUCUAAGAUGGGCUGCAUCUUGAGAUCAAGGCAAAGGCAAAGAUGUAUAACUAUAGCAGCUUUGCAUGCUUGAUUAUAGGA
rnacentral:lncRNA from 1 species